AUCAAGAAUAAUUUCACGUUACUAAGCAUUAGUGUUACCUCUUAAUACGGGUCCAGGGUUUAGUAGUCGGUAGUUGCCGCCAGUCAGUACGUUGAUCAACAAAAGCCGUGUGUGCUUUUCCCGCUCAAAAAAGAUCAGACGACGGUUGGCUAAUCGGCAAAACAAGGCUCCCUUGUUAUAGUCGAGUCACCAACUCAAUGGGAAAUCACAUCGGCACGGAAACACCCUUCGUGGAAAAUUUAUCCAGUGAAUCAUGAUUGUACGUCGACUCGAUUCGGUUGAAAAUGAAGUCGGUCAGGUAAAGCAAAACGUAUUUGUUGAGUGGAAUGAAACGGAAGUGAUUCAUUAUUCUGCUACCAAAUCGUAUUGAUUUCUACAUUUCUUCGCAAUGUUUAUCUUAAUAUCUCUUUUUCAUUAAUUAGGCUCCCCGCUGCUUGUCAGCAGGGAACCUAUUGUAUUCCUGUGUUUUAUUAUUAUUAUUAUUUAUU